ACUUUAUAUCUGCUCCAUGGACUGCUAUGUAAACAGAUAAUAGAUAUCCACACUGUGAACUUUGCAUUAGCAUUUUAGCUGUUGGUGUCCAUCGCUGACUGUAUUUGGACUAUAUUUGCACAAGAGGAUGGAGUCCUAAGUAGCUAAUGCUAGCUAACUUGCUUAUCAAACUACAUCCAUAGACUGUGCGAUAGCAUCACACAGGAACGGAUAGCUGCUAAUUAGUACUCAUUAACAUCCAAAUUAGAAUUUCCCCUCACCAAAAGUGGAGCUGAGGCUUCUUGGACGGUCUGUUAGUACAGUAACCUCACAGCAACCAUUGUAUUGUUCAGUUGUUCAGAUCAUGUUAAUAAAAAUGCUCCAGAAGGCUCCAACAGCACAAACACAACCCAGAGGUCCAGUUUAGGGACUCAACUGAGAUGUCGCUAUCCACCUGUCAGUCAAAAAAGGCCACGCCCCUAAUAAGGUAAAUUAUUGCAGGUAUUUCAAAAUGGCUUCUAAAACAGUCUUGCUUCUGCUUGAUGGUAUGAAACCAAACACGAUAAGAUGACUCUUUACUGAUAAACCACUGAAACUGUGAAGGGCUGUUGUUGUUUCUCUCUGGUAUUUCCUGGAAGUUUUUACAUCAGGUUAACACAUUUGAAAAUAAAUAUGAAAAUCCUGCGAGCUCCUCUCAUUUAAAAAAAAAAAAAAACGAGCACAGCAGGAGCCUCAAAUAUCCAAACAUAUCUUCAGUUUUUUAAUCCACCUGCUGUCUCUUCUCUGCGUUUGUAAUUGAAUCUAAAAACCCUCAAUAAGCACCGUGGUUCAGCUGGACUCGUUUGAAACCGCCGGCACACUCUGAGGAGAUAACGAGAAGUGAUAAUUUGUUUCUGCCGGUCGUGCACCUACAUGCAUCCCACCAUCUGUUAUUUCAUUUCAGCCUCCCGAUGUGAAUAUUGAAACAUUUCCAUGGCAACAACAGCAACAUACAGGCAGGUAGCAGCGCCUGGAGGAGGAGGAUGCAGCUUUUCUUGCAUCUCCAUCAUAGUCACACUCUGCUCGUUAUUUGUUGUGUUUUCGAAGCAGUUUUGUCGCUGACUUCUUUGGGCUUUUCUCCUGUAAUUAGGGCAUCUCCUUAC
ensembl:lncRNA